rnacentral:rRNA from 1 species
GAUGAACGCUAGCGGCAGGCUUAAUACAUGCAAGACGAACGGUAAGUGUUGUAGCAAUAUAGCACGAGAGUGUCGUACGGGUGCGUAACACGUAUGCAACCUACCUUGUACAGGAGGAUAGCUCGGGGAAACUCGAAUUAACCCUCCAUAAUAUAUUUGAAUGGCAUCAUUUGAAUAUUAAAACCUUGGUGGUACAAGAUGGGCAUGCGUCUGAUUAGUUAGUUGGAGUGUAAUGGACUACCAAGACGAUGAUCAGUAGGGGACCUGAGAGGGUGAU